AACUGCAAAGAUAAAAACACCAUGAGCCGGUUGGUAGUCCGGCCGCACGUCACGUGUCAGUAACCCUCCCUCCUUGGGUCGUCCCUUCUUUGUAUGAAUCAA
rfam:Clostridiales bacterium CHKCI006 isolate CHKC6 genome assembly, contig: {contig33}